rnacentral:rRNA from 1 species
GCAAUGCUGCACGUUACUCUCGGGAUCUGGGGCUUUUAGAGGCCCCCCCUCCUCUGAGGCAGAAGAAGGAGGGGGCUACUGCAGGUCAAUGUGCCCCAUCCCCCUCGGGCCACACGCGGUCUGCAAUGUUAAAGACAGUGUUUUUCCAUUCUGAAGAGAAGAUAAUCUCCCCAAACCUUACCCCAUUUAUGAUUGAGGGCUGAAACUCGCCCUCAUGAAUAUGGAAUCCCUAGUAACCGCGUGUCAACAUCGCGCGGUGAAUACGUCCCUGCUCCUUGCACAAA